rnacentral:lncRNA from 1 species
GCUUCUGCCUCUGUUAUGUGAAAAUUGAAAGUUUUGCUUAUAUAUAAUACGUCAUAGCUCUUAAGCAUUAUUUUUUUUAAAGAAAACAGUCAUGCGACCAUGGUUUUUUUUCAAUAUUAUUUUGAAUGUUUAAAACAUGACAAUUAGAUUUCUGAAAUAGCAUUACACAAAAAAAAUGGAAAUUUAGCUCCUGCUUCAAAAAAAUUAAAAUGUUGAUGAUCGAACUAAGAUUUAGGCUAAAGAAAAAUUGAUUACGAAUUGAAAAAAACAAACGUAUAUUGUAUAACAAUAUGU